AGCUAAUACCGCAUAACGUCGCAAGACCAAAGAGGGGGACCUUCGGGCCUCUUGCCAUCGGAUGUGCCCAGAUGGGAUUAGCUAGUAGGUGGGGUAAAGGCUCACCUAGGCGACGAUCCCUAGCUGGUCUGAGAGGAUGACCAGCCACACUGGAACUGAGACACGGUCCAGACUCCUACGGGAGGCAGCAGUGGGGAAUAUUGCACAAUGGGCGCAAGCCUGAUGCAGCCAUGCCGCGUGUAUGAAGAAGGCCUUCGGGUUGUAAAGUACUUUCAGCGGGGAGGAAGGGAGUAAAGUUAAUACCUUUGCUCAUUGACGUUACCCGCAGAAGAAGCACCGGCUAACUCCGUGCCAGCAGCCGCGGUAAUACGGAGGGUGCAAGCGUUAAUCGGAAUUACUGGGCGUAAAGCGCACGCAGGCGGUUUGUUAAGUCAGAUGUGAAAUCCCCGGGCUCAACCUGGGAACUGCAUCUGAUACUGGCAAGCUUGAGUCUCGUAGAGGGGGGUAGAAUUCCAGGUGUAGCGGUGAAAUGCGUAGAGAUCUGGAGGAAUACCGGUGGCGAAGGCGGCCCCCUGGACGAAGACUGACGCUCAGGUGCGAAAGCGUGGGGAGCAAACAGGAUUAGAUACCCUGGUAGUCCACGCCGUAAACGAUGUCGACUUGGAGGUUGUGCCCUUGAGGCGUGGCUUCCGGAGCUAACGCGUUAAGUCGACCGCCUGGGGAGUACGGCCGCAAGGUUAAAACUCAAAUGAAUUGACGGGGGCCCGCACAAGCGGUGGAGCAUGUGGUUUAAUUCGAUGCAACGCGAAGAACCUUACCUGGUCUUGACAUCCACGGAAGUUUUCAGAGAUGAGAAUGUGCCUUCGGGAACCGUGAGACAGGUGCUGCAUGGCUGUCGUCAGCUCGUGUUGUGAAAUGUUGGGUUAAGUCCCGCAACGAGCGCAACCCUUAUCCUUUGUUGCCAGCGGUCCGGCCGGGAACUCAAAGGAGACUGCCAGUGAUAAACUGGAGGAAGGUGGGGAUGACGUCAAGUCAUCAUGGCCCUUACGACCAGGGCUACACACGUGCUACAAUGGCGCAUACAAAGAGAAGCGAUCUCGCGAGAGCAAGCGGACCUCAUAAAGUGCGUCGUAGUCCGGAUUGGAGUCUGCAACUCGACUCCAUGAAGUCGGAAUCGCUAGUAAUCGUGGAUCAGAAUGCCACGGUGAAUACGUUCCCGGGCCUUGUACACACCGCCCGUCACACCAUGGGAGUGGGUUGCAAAAGAAGUAGGUAGCUUAACCUUCGGGAGGGCGCUUACCACUUUGUGAUUCAUGACUGGGGUGAAGUCGUAACAAGGUAACCGUAGGGGAACCUGCGGUUGGAUCACCUCCUUACCUUAAAGAAGC
rnacentral:rRNA from 1 species